GCUAAACGCGAAGAACCUUACCAGGCCUUGACAUGCAGAGAACUUUCCAGAGAUGGGAUUGGGUGCCUUCGGGAGGCUCUGACACAGGUGCUGCACGGCUGUCGUCAGCUCGUGUCGUGAGAUGUUGGGUUAAGUCCCGUAACGAGCGCGAACCCUUGUCCUUAGUUACCAGCACGUUAUGGUGGGCACUCGUAAGGAGACUGCCGGUGACAAACCGGAGGAAGGUGGGGAUGGACGUCAAGUCAUCAUGGCCCUUAGGCCUGGGCUACACACGUGCUACAAUGGUCGGUACAGAGGGUUGCCAAGCCGCGAGGUGGAGCUAAUCUCACAAAACCGAUCGUAGUCCGGAUCGCAGUCUGCAACUCGACUGCGUGAAGUCGGAAUCGCUAGGUAAUCGCGAAUCAGAAUGUCGCGGUGAAUACGUUCCCGGGGUCUUGUACACACCGAGUCGUGG
rnacentral:rRNA from 1 species